rnacentral:lncRNA from 1 species
CAGAAACCAGUUGUGAGGCAGUUUUGUUGUGUCAGGCAUUUUGCCCUCUAUGUAAGUCUUUCAGGCAAGGUCUCAGACAUGAGCUCAGGUUGCAGACAGCGUUUACAACAACCCCCCCCCCCCCACUGGUUUUACAUGAAAUUAACUCCUUCUAAUCAACUCAGGUCCUGCCAAAGUCCUGCUUUUGCAUCUGGAAAAUAUGGAGAAAGAUGGGAAACCUUCAACAGGCAGUAGCACAAGAUGAAAUAUGUGGUAGACCUUCUCCUUCAGUUCCUUCAGCGGAUGAAUCCCUUUACUUCCUGCCUUUGUGUGGUUUCCCGCCAUCGUCAGCGCCAGCCCCGCCUCUGAUUGUUUCCACCUGUGCCCACUCAUCUCAUGUAUAAAUAGUCUCCCCUUGUCUUGUGCCAGUUUGUCUGGUUAUGUCCCAGUGUAUUGAACCAGGGUGUCAGCAGUAUUUUUUAUUUUUUUUAUUUUUUUGUUAUACCUCCUUGUGAGUGUUUUGAGUUUAUGCUACCUUUUUGCAAGUAAAGUAUGUUAUUUCACACUUUACAUCUGUUUCUGGCAUUGUGCAUUUGAGUCUUCCUUCCCUGUGUCCGAGGUUGUGACAGGAUUUCCCUUCUGAUGAUGCUGCGUGAUGCAUAAAACUCCUAGUUGAAAGUCCAAGUAAAGUAACCAGUAAACACGUGCUUAUAUUCCUGACUACACAACUAUUCUGUAUGGAAAGAGCACCACCAUGUGGUAGAAGGUUUUCUCUACACCCUUCACACUGCAGCACCGCACUCAGCAGAUGGGGUUUUCCCAGUUGAAAUUGUUCAAAUGUUCCAUUUUCCCAUUGGUUUAAAAGUUCAAUAUUUGCUUUGGAAACAGUAGUCAA